AAGGGACAUCAGUACAGGUGGUGCAUGGCUGUCGUCAGCUCGUGUCGUGAGAUGUUGGGUUAAGUCCCGCAACGAGCGCAACCCUUAUUCUUAGUUGUUUUCCCUUUGGGAUUACCCUCUAAGAAGACUGCCUCGGAUAACGGGGAGGAAGGUGGGGAUGACGUCAAGUCCGCAUGCUCCUUACGUCUAGGGCUACACACGUCCUACAAUGGGGUCGACAAUGGGAUGCAAUAUCGCAAGAUGGAGCCAAUCCCCAAACGGCCUCUCAGUUCGGAUUGUAGUCUGCAACUCGACUACAUGAAGUUGGAAUCGCUAGUAAUCGCAGGUCAGCAUACUGCGGUGAAUACGUUCCCGGGCCUU
rnacentral:rRNA from 1 species